AACGAACGCUGGCGGCAUGCCUAACACAUGCAAGUCGAACGAAGCCUUCGGGCUUAGUGGCGCACGGGUGCGUAACGCGUGGGAAUCUGCCCUUGGGUACGGAAUAACAGUUGGAAAUGACUGCUAAUACCGUAUGAUGUCUUCGGACCAAAGAUUUAUCGCCCAGGGAUGAGCCCGCGUUGGAUUAGGUAGUUGGUGGGGUAAAGGCCUACCAAGCCGACGAUCCAUAGCUGGUCUGAGAGGAUGAUCAGCCACACUGGGACUGAGACACGGCCCAGACUCCUACGGGAGGCAGCAGUGGGGAAUAUUGGACAAUGGGGGAAACCCUGAUCCAGCAAUGCCGCGUGAGUGAUGAAGGCCUUAGGGUUGUAAAGCUCUUUUACCCGGGAAGAUAAUGACUGUACCGGAAGAAUAAGCCCCGGCUAACUCCGUGCCAGCCGCCGCCGUAA
rnacentral:rRNA from 1 species